UCAAAGGCUUUAUCUCUAUAAAGCCACCAAUUAACUAUUUGUAAAUUUUU
rfam:Papio anubis isolate 1X1155 chromosome 7, whole genome shotgun sequence.